AUUGGCUGAGGCGCAGCGCGCGGGAGCGGCGGUUAGCAGCCGGCUCGGGCCGCCCGGCUGUCCCGUCAGACGGCGCCGCUCCCUCAGCCCGGCCCCGCCGCUGCAGCCGCUGUUCGCCAGAGCUGUCCGGGCAGCACCGAGACGGAGGCGCGGCACAACGAAAGCGGUGCUGAGGACAGCGGCGCCGGAGGUGUGCGGGAGAACGGCUCCGGGCCGGGGCCGGGGCCGGGGCCGGGGCGAGGAACCGUAUGAGGCCCGAACCGCCCCGCCCCGCCCUCCCCUCCCCUCCGCCGUGGGAUGCGGGGAUUUGGGACGGCUGAAGGACUCGGGGCCCCCACCGCCGCAGUGCUGCUGCCCGCAUCCGGGCCGGGCCCCCCCAAGCCUCCAGCGCUGCUCCCGGUGUCCCCCGGAGCUGAGGCACAGGUAUUGUUUAACAGUGCCUUUGGAGAAGUUUUCAGUAUCCAGUCUCCUGCUCAGGAAGAAAGUUUUUGGAGGACUUAAUCAUGAGUGGAGCUGCUGCUGAAGCUCCACUUCAGACAGGCAAGCUGGUGAGGACGUUGUGCAUCUCAGCCUUUCCUCACUGCAAGGUUUGUUCUGGAGGUCCUGAUGACGGCACAGGCAUGAAGCAGCCCAGAGCUCGUCGGUGCGGAGAGACUGCGUAUUGCGUUGUGAAGGGAGAGACGGAGGAGGGGUUUGAACAGCGUUGCGCAGGAAUGAAAGAAGCUGGCUGCGGCACUUCAAAGUGUGCUGUGGAUGGGCAGCGCGUUGACAACCCAAGGGUGGCACCAGGAGAUGCAGCGCAGCCCUCUCCAGCAGCAGGGUGCAUUUAUUCGUCUUGCUAAUUCUUGAAGUAGAAGGCAGGAGACGGGCAGCGGUACUGCAGCUCGUCUGCGACUUUGAAGCUAAGUUGGGAAGUGGAAGAUGUGGAUGUGAAAGAAGAACUCAGUUACUGGGACGCUCCCUUUUCUUCCCCUAGCUGUCCCCAUUGCCUCA